UUAAAGCCGUUCUCAGUUCGGAUUGUAGGCUGCAACUCGCCUACAUGAAGUCGGAAUCGCUAGUAAUCGCGGAUCAGCAUGCCGCGGUGAAUACGUUCCCGGGCCUUGUACACACCGCCCGUCACACCAUGAGAGUUUGUAACACCCAAAGCCGGUGGGGUAACCUUUUGGAGCCAGCCGUCUAAGGUGGGACAGAUGAUUGGGGUGAAGUCGUAACAAGGUAUC
rnacentral:rRNA from 1 species